rnacentral:tRNA from 1 species
GAGGGUAUAGCUCAGUGGUAGAGCACGUGCUUAGCAUGCACAAGGUCCUGGGUUCAAUCUCCAGCACCUCCA